GAUGCAUUUCACUGUUUACAGUAAAAAGUGAAGCAAUAGGUUGUGGCAAGAAGUUAUUAUUAUGUUGAAAGAUGAAGCAACUUACUUGAUAACUAAAUAUAUCAAAUAUAUUUAAUAUUUUCAUGCACAAAUGCAAGUAUGUCUUAUUAAUUAAAUUUAUAAAUUUCAAUUUAGGCAAUAAGAGACGGUGUGAUUGAAGCGACUAUCGAUCACGAGAAAGGAUAUGUACAAUCUAAGG
rnacentral:lncRNA from 1 species